GCCUGGCUGGCUCAGUCAGUAGAGCAUGAGACUCUUGAUCUCAGGGUUGUAAGUUUGACCCCAUGUUGGGUG
rnacentral:tRNA from 1 species